CCAUCAGUUGAAGCUAGACAUAAGUACCUGAAAUACAUUGGAGCCAUGCUCUUCAUGAUAUAAUAGACAGCUAUGUAUCAUCUUCCAGACACAACUAAAAUUUAUUUGCUAAACAAGCAGGGCAUUACUCAAGUGAGCUGAUGAAGUAAGAGGAAUCCAGAGGCGUGGGAUUUGCACUGUGUAUCAUUUUAAGCAUGGUUGGCCGCAUCGUUGGCUCCUCUUGAAAGCACAUGUACUACUUGCACCAAGAGCAAGAAUUUAACAGUAGAAAAGCCGUAUCAACUAUAUGUAUGCCCCAAUGCGAUCAACAA